UGUCGUCAGCUCGUGUUGUGAAAUGUUGGGUUAAGUCCCGCAACGAGCGCAACCCUUAUCCUUUGUUGCCAGCGGUCCGGCCGGGAACUCAAAGGAGACUGCCAGUGAUAAACUGGAGGAAGGUGGGGAUGACGUCAAGUCAUCAUGGCCCUUACGACCAGGGCUACACACGUGCUACAAUGGCGCAUACAAAGAGAAGCGACCUCGCGAGAGCAAGCGGACCUCAUAAAGUGCGUCGUAGUCC
rnacentral:rRNA from 3 species